rnacentral:rRNA from 1 species
GACGAACGCUGGCGGCGUGCCUAAUACAUGCAAGUCGAACGCUUUGAUUUUCACCGGAGCUUGCUCCACCGAAAAUCAAAGAGUGGCGGACGGGUGAGUAACACGUGGGCAACCUGCCCAACAGAGGGGGAUAACACUUGGAAACAGGUGCUAAUACCGCAUAAUUUGUUUUUCCGCAUGGAAGAAUAAUAAAAGACGCUUCGGUGUCACUGUUGGAUGGGCCCGCGCUGCAUUAGUUAGUUGGUGGGGUAACGGCCUACCAAGACCAUGAUGCAUAGCCGACCUGAGAGGGUGAUCGGCCACACUGGGACUGAGACACGGCCCAGACUCCUACGGGAGGCAGCAGUAGGGAAUCUUCGGCAAUGGACGAAAGUCUGACCGAGCAACGCCGCGUGAGUGAAGAAGGUUUUCGGAUCGUAAAACUCUGUUGUUAGAGAAGAACAAGUGAGAGAGUUACUGUUCUCACCUUGACGGUAUCUAACCAGAAAGCCACGGCUAACUACGUGCCAGCAGCCGCGGUAAUACGUAGGUGGCAAGCGUUGUCCGGAUUUAUUGGGCGUAAAGCGGGCGCAGGCGGUUUCUUAAGUCUGAUGUGAAAGCCCUCGGCUCAACCGAGGAAGGUCAUUGGAAACUGGGGAACUUGAGUGCAGAAGAGGAGAGUGGAAUUCCAUGUGUAGCGGUGAAAUGCGUAGAUAUAUGGAGGAACACCAGUGGCGAAGGCGACUCUCUGGUCUGUAACUGACGCUGAGGCUCGAAAGCGUGGGGAGCAAACAGG